rnacentral:lncRNA from 1 species
UCCUGUUAGAAGUCUCUGCUUAACCCUCCUGUGCCGGGCUCACGAACAGGACGCAGCCAGCUUCUUGGAACCUUGGGCAUGGUGGAACCUUGGGCACAGACUGCUAGAAAACGGAACUGACCAGGAGAUGCCUGCCACACACGGCCUUUGUCUUUCUGAGAGAACUGAUGGGAGGCCGCACAAGCUACUCAGGAAGCUGAGGCCCCAGAACAAGAAGAGCUGGAGGAAGCUGGGUGGUGACACUUGGAAUCACUUUAGUCAUUCAUUAAAUUGUUGCUGUUCUCAAGUUCGACCUCCCACAAGAACUAUUCUAUCAUAAUUCCCUAACACAGCUGAUUGUAGCUGUCCUUCUCCAAUACUCGAAGAUAGACAUUGCAUCUUCAGAGAUAGCCCCACGCCAGCUACGACAGAGAGAACUUCAUACUUAACUUUCAGAUAUUUUCGACACGGCACACCUAGGCCAGUGAGAUGACUCAGACUGUAAAGGCUCCGCUGCCAAUCCUCAAGACCCAAGUUCAAUCCCCGGGACCCAUGCCCUCCCAUGUGGAGAGAGAGGGAGAGUGCUAUAAUUUGUUCUUUGACCUCCACGCAUACUCAUCCCUCUCUCCAGUAAAUAAAUUAAAAUAAUUUUAAAAUAAAAAAAAA